CGGAAGGUCCGGGCGUUAUCCGGAUUUAUUGGGUUUAAAGGGAGCGUAGGCCGGAGAUUAAGCGUGUUGUGAAAUGUAGACGCUCAACGUCUGCACUGCAGCGCGAACUGGUUUCCUUGAGUACGCACAAAGUGGGCGGAAUUCGUGGUGUAGCGGUGAAAUGCUUAGAUAUCACGAAGAACUCCGAUUGCGAAGGCAGCCCACUGGAGCGCAACUGACGCUGAAGCUCGAAAGUGCGGGUAUCGA
rnacentral:rRNA from 1 species